CAGGCAUAAUGAUGAAAUGUUUUUCUGAUUACUUUGAUGAACACAAACCUCCUACUCAUUCUGA